GGUUCUGCUGCAGAUGUCCUACGUGUCAAGCACCAGAGAAUGCUGAGAGAGAUGCUUCUGCUUUGGCCCUCCGUAAAAUUCCAAAUACUAGCAGAUAAAAAGGAUGGAGAGCCUUGCUGAAUUUGGUCCACAGCCUGAGGCGAAACCUCAUUACUAUUUAAAAAGAUGAGGGAUUUGUAAACCAAAGGAAGGAAGUAUCUGGUCGGCUGCAUUUUGAAAGAAACAAAUAUUACUCGUACUAUAAAAACAGGGAAUACUUAAGUGUGAGAGUAUAACACAUUAAAACACUCUGGUUUGGAGGUUGAAGAAAACACAGAUAGUUUUGUAAUGUAAGAGCAGUUUCAGUAAACAUGUGCCAUUAAUACUGAAACCACCUUGCAUUUUAUCCUAAUGCUUGCAGAAGGAAACAAGACUGGCUUUUAUAAAUGAAGUUUUGCAAAGGAUAAUUGAUGUCUAAUAGAUCCUUUACUGCAUGCAGAUUUUUGUCAAGAACAUCACAGUAGCUAGAUAUUAUAUAUUUCUCAAGCUAGUGAGAGAAUAAUAUCUUACUUUGGUAGAUCUAGUUUGGGGUUCAUGUUGGGUUCAUCUCUUCCUUUACCAGCUGGCCUUUCCUCAGCUUCUUUUUCAUUGACAACUUCCAAUGUCAUUUCAACUUUACCCUUCAGAAAACAUGUAGCAUGAGACAAGCAUCUUAUUGAAACAGAACCAAUAGUACUUGUUUGGUACUUAUACAGCAGAGUUUGGGAUCAGCUCACUGUGUGCAUCUGUGUGUUUUCCAUUUCCUUCUCAAAAUAUACUUAUUUCUGCACUAUGACAGUGUCACAACACAGCAUCAGAGAAUGACAAAUAGAAAAAAAAAAAUCACCGUACAUAAAAUGG